AGAGAAUAAUGAAAUGCAUCAUCU
rnacentral:siRNA from 1 species